ACUCAUAGUUUCCAUAGAUAAGACUAUUAUAUUUCUGCUGCCAAUUUACUCAUUUAAUUCUUACUAUUUGUGUCUGUUAGAAAUACAGCUGGACAGUAAGAUCACACACAAUUUCCUUCCAGCAGCAGUUCUUUAGCAUUAGCAUUUUUCCCCACACCAUUAUUUGGAGUUCUUCCAAUACCAGCAGCAGACUGUGCAUGUCCAUUUUUCUGUGAACUUCAAAAUUUGUUACUGCUGUACUUGUGCUCUGCUAAUAAGAUAGAAAACAUUUUCUGGAGUGUUUUUUCAUCCAAUCAGAAAACAUUUGCCUUCAGUGUGCUGCUAAAGAAAGAUACUGAAAUGGCUGGCUGUAAACGCCUAUGUACAGGAAAACCAAACAAAACCAAUGUGGAAAUGGGCUCAAAGACAAUUCCUCUGCCCCCAUACUGUGGGCCUAGCAUGGUACUAAUUAUGAUGAUGGAAAAAGAACUUGAGUUUACAAUGUCUUAGCCUUGGAAGAAGGCUUUUUCUUUUGUCUAAUGUUAAGGCCAUAUAGAUUUUUCUGCUUGCUCUUAUGGCAAGUGUGCAUUAUAAGGAAUAUUAGAUAGGCCAGAGGCUGGUAUUCCCAUUUAGAGAUAUCGAGGAUUAUCAUUUCUUCUCUUUUAUCUCUUUUUUUUUUUUUUUUUUGCUAUAUCUUUAGCUACAUGCUAUAUCCCCACAGAACACUACUUAAUUUAGUCCAGAUACACUAUAUACUGCAGUUUUGUUUGUAUAAUGCUGUAAGAAUGCAUGUUCCAUGUGCACCUUACCUGAUUUCUGUGUACUCUGUGCAUCUUAGGAAGAUGCCUUAUGUUAGUAGUAUACGAAUAAAGAUGAUGUUCUUAACAAAA